rnacentral:rRNA from 1 species
AAGACCUUGCGCUUUUGGAGCGGCCGAUGUCUGAUUAGCUUGUUGGUGAGGUAAAGGCUUACCAAGGCUUCGAUCAGUAGCUGGUCUGAGAGGACGGCCAGCCACACUGGGACUGAGACACGGCCCAGACUCCUACGGGAGGCAGCAGUGGGGAAUUUUGGACAAUGGGGGCAACCCUGAUCCAGCCAUGCCGCGUGAGUGAAGAAGGCCUUCGGGUUGUAAGGCUCUUUCAGCCGGAACGAAACGGUUACGAUUAAUACCCGUAACUACUGACGGUACCGGAAGAAGAAGCACCGGCUAACUACGUGCCAGCAGCCGCGGUAAUACGUAGGGUGCGAGCGUUAAUCGGAAUUACUGGGCGUAAAGCGUGCGCAGGUGGUUUUGUAAGUCAGAUGUGAAAUCCCCGGGCUUAACCUGGGAACU